rnacentral:rRNA from 1 species
AAAACGACUCUCGGCAACGGAUAUCUCGGCUCUCGCAUCGAUGAAGAACGCAGCGAAAUGCGAUACUUGGUGUGAAUUGCAGGAUCCCGUGAACCAUCGAGUUUUUGAACGCAAGUUGCGCCCGAAGCCUUCCGGCCGAGGGCACGUCUGCCUGGGUGUCACUC